AAAGCGUGCGCAGGCGGCUUUGCAAGACAGAUGUGAAAUCCCCGGGCUCAACCUGGGAACUGCAUUUGUGACUGCAAGGCUAGAGUACGGCAGAGGGGGAUGGAAUUCCGCGUGUAGCAGUGAAAUGCGUAGAUAUGCGGAGGAACACCGAUGGCGAAGGCAAUCCCCUGGGCCUGUACUGACGCUCAUGCACGAAAGCGUGGGGAGCAAACAGGAUUAGAUACCCUUGU
rnacentral:rRNA from 1 species